rnacentral:rRNA from 1 species
CCGUAGGUGAACCUGCGGAAGGAUCAUUACCGAGUGAGGGCCCUCUGGGUCCAACCUCCCACCCGUGUCUAUCGUACCUUGUUGCUUCGGCGGGCCCGCCGUUUCGACGGCCGCCGGGGAGGCCUUGCGCCCCCGGGCCCGCGCCCGCCGAAGACCCCAACAUGAACGCUGUUCUGAAAGUAUGCAGUCUGAGUUGAUUAUCGUAAUCAGUUAAAACUUUCAACAACGGAUCUCUUGGUUCCGGCAUCGAUGAAGAACGCAGCGAAAUGCGAUAAGUAAUGUGAAUUGCAGAAUUCAGUGAAUCAUCGAGUCUUUGAACGCACAUUGCGCCCCCUGGUAUUCCGGGGGGCAUGCCUGUCCGAGCGUCAUUGCUGCCCUCAAGCACGGCUUGUGUGUUGGGCCCCCGUCCCCCUCUCCCGGGGGACGGGCCCGAAAGGCAGCGGCGGCACCGCGUCCGGUCCUCGAGCGUAUGGGGCUUUGUCACCUGCUCUGUAGGCCCGGCCGGCGCCAGCCGACACCCAACUUUAUUUUUCUAAGGUUGACCUCGGAUCAGGUAGGGAUACCCGCUGAACUUAAG